GAAUAUGAUGAUUAUUGUUGUCGCCCCAGUCUUACAAGCAUCUGUAGACGCUUGAUGGUGAUCGACACUUGAUUAUGAUCUGAUUC